CGUGGAGACAGGUGGUGCAUGGCUGUCGUCAGCUCGUGCCGUGAGGUGUUGGAUUAAGUUCCGCAACGAGCGCAACCCUCGUUACUAGUUGCCAUCAUUCAGUUGGGCACUCUAGUGAGACUGCCAGCGUCAAGCUGGAGGAAGGUGGGGACGACGUCAAGUCAUCAUGCCCCUUACGUCCUGGGCUACACACGUGCUACAAUGGGCGGCACAACGGGUUGCCACCUCGCAAGAGGGCGCGAAUCCCUUAAAACCGUUCUCAGUUCGGAUCGGGGUCUGCAACUUGACUCCGUGAAGUUGGAAUCGCUAGUAAUCGUGGAUCAGCAUGCCACGGUGAAUACGUUCCCGGGCCUUGUACACACCGCCCGUCACACCACGAAAGUCUGCUGUACUCGAAGUCGCUGAG
rnacentral:rRNA from 1 species